rfam:Rhizobium lusitanum strain P1-7 genome assembly, contig: Ga0061101_102
CAGGCAUGCUGGAGCUCCGCAGCGGCGCCUGGGCCUGGAAGGCCCGACACCGUACUCACAUCGGAGCUUAA